rnacentral:rRNA from 1 species
UACGUAGGGGGCUAGCGUUGUCCGGAAUCAUUGGGCGUAAAGCGCGCGUAGGCGGCCCGGUAAGUCCGCUGUGAAAGUCAAAGGCUCAACCUUUGAAUGUCAGCGGAUACUGCCGGGCUAGAGUCCGGAAGAGGAGAGUGGAAUUCCUGGUGUAGCGGUGAAAUGCGCAGAUAUCAGGAAGAACACCCGUGGCGAAGGCGGCUCUCGUGGGACGGUACUGACGGCUGAGACGAGAAAGCGUGGGGGAGCGAACAGG